rnacentral:misc_RNA from 1 species
AACGCACGAGACCUGCGGACCUGCGGAGGGAUCAUUAAUGAGAAGCUGCCCCUCGUGGGUAGACCUCCCACCCUCUGUGAACUUACCUUUGUUGCUUUGGCAGGCCCGUCCUCUGGACCGCCGGCUUCGGCUGGCCCGUGCCUGCCAGAGGAUUCCAAACCCUGUCUGUCAGUGUUGUCUGAGUCUAUAUGAAAUCGCUAAAACUUUUAACAAUGGAUCUCUAGAUCGGAAGAGCACACG